AGUGGCGGACGGGUGAGUAACGCGUGAGAAUCUGCCUUGGGGUCGGGGACAACCACUGGAAACGGUGGCUAAUACCGGAUAAGCCGAUUGGUGAAAGAUUUAUUGCCCGAAGAGGAGCUCGCGUCUGAUUAGCUAGUUGGUGAGGUAAGAGCUCACCAAGGCAGCGAUCAUUAGCUGGUCUGAGAGGACGAUCAGCCACACUGGGACUGAGACACGGCCCAGACUCCUACGGGAGGCAGCAGUGGGGAAUUUUCCGCAAUGGGCGAAAGCCUGACGGAGCAAGACCGCGUGAGGGAGGAAGGCUCUUGGGUUGUAAACCUCUUUUCUCAGGGAAGAAGCUCUGACGGUACCUGAGGAAUCAGCCUCGGCUAACUCCGUGCCAGCAGCCGCGGUAAUACGGAGGAGGCAAGCGUUAUCCGGAAUUAUUGGGCGUAAAGCGUCCGCAGGUGGCGAUUCAAGUCUGCUGUCAAAGCACGGGGCUUAACUCCGUAAAGGCAGUGGAAACUGAAUAGCUAGAGUGCCGUAGGGGUAGAGGGAAUUCCCGGUGUAGCGGUGAAAUGCGUAGAGAUCGGGAAGAACAUCGGUGGCGAAAGCGCUCUACUGGACGGCAACUGACACUCAGGGACGAAAGCUAGGGGAGCGAAUGGGAUUAGAUACCCC
rnacentral:rRNA from 1 species